rnacentral:ncRNA from 2 species
AAAAUUAAAUACGUUUAAGGUGUCAGAAAAGCAUAUGCUUGGUUCUGAUGAAAAGGGAAACAGGUGCAAAUCCUGUACGAACUCGUCACUGUGAUAAGGGAGUUUGCGGCAAAUAAGUCACUGAUAUUAAUUGGGAAGGCUGCCGUAAAUGAUAAUCUUUCAGCCAGGAGACCUGCCUUAAAUGAAAUUUGUAC